rnacentral:lncRNA from 1 species
UAUGGACAUCUAUGGGUCUCCUGUGGGUCCCUAUGGGUCCUUAUGGGGUCUCCAUGGGGUUUCUGCCCUAUGGGAUUCUUUAUGGACAUCUAUGGGUCUCUGUGGGUCGCUAUGGGUCCUUAUGGGGUCUCUAUGGGGUUUCUGCCCUAUGGGUUUCUCUAUGGACAUCUAUGGGUCUCCUGUGGGUCCCUAUGGGUCCUUAUGGGGUCUCUAUGGGGUCCCUAUGGGUCUCAAUGGAUCUCGCUAUAAAUCUCUAUGGGGUCUCUGUGGGUCUCUAUGGGUUUUUAUGGGGUCUCUAUGGGGUCCCUAUGGGUCUCAAUGGGUCUUGCUAUGAUCUCUGUGGGUCCCUAUGGGUCUCUAUGGGCCCUUAUGGGGUCUCUAUGGGUCCCUAUGCGUCUCUAUGGGGCUUUAUGGGGUCUCUAUGGGGUCCCUAUGGGUCUCUAUGGGCCCUUAUACGGUCUCUAUGGGUCCCUAUGCGUCUCUAUGGGCCCUUAUGGGGUCUCUACGGGGUCCCUAUGGGUCUCAGUGGGUCUUGCUAUGAUCUCUAUGGGUCCCUAUGGGUCUCACUACAAUCUCUAUGGGUCCCUAUGGGUCUCAAUGGGUCUCGCUAUGAUCUCUAUGGGUCCCUAUGGGUCUCUAUGGGCCCUUAUAGGGUCUCUAUGGGUCCCUAUGGGUCUCAAUGGGUCUCACUGUAGAUCUCUAUGGGGUCUCCGUGGGUCUCUAUGGGUCCUUAUAGGGUCUCUACGGGGUCCCUAUGGGUCUCAGUGGGUCUUGCUAUGAUCUCUAUGGGUUCCUAUGGGUCUCUAUGGGUCCCUAUGGGUCUCUAUGGGUCCUUAUAGGGUCUCUAUGGGGUCCCUAUGGGUCUCAAUAGGUCUUGCUAUGAUCUCUGUGGGGUCCCUAUGGGUCUCAGUGGGUCUUGCUAUGAUCUCUAUGGGUCUCUAUGGGUCCCAGUGGGUCUUGCUAUGAUCUCUGUGGGUCCCUAUGGGUCUCUAUGGGUCCUUAUGGGGUCUCUAUGGGGUCCCUAUGGGUCUCAAUGGAUCUUGCUAUGUUCUCUAUGGGUCCCUAUGGGUCUCAAUGGGUCUCACUAUGAUCUCUAUGGGUCCCUAUGGGUCUCUAUGGGCCCUUAUAGGGUCUCUAUGGGUCCCUAUGCGUCUCUAUGGGGCUUUAUGGGGUCUCUAUGGGGUCCCUAUGGGUCUCUAUGGGUCCUUAUAGGGUCUCUAUGGGUCCCUAUGGGUCUCUAUGGGCCCUUAUAGGGUCUCUAUGGGGUCCCUAUGGGUCUCAAUGGGUCUUGCUAUGAUCCCUAUGGAGCGUUACCGGCUCCAGGUGCGGAAGGCGUUGCUGGCCCGCUUGUACAGGUAGCCCUCCAUGGGGGGGGCGUCAGGCCCCGCCCCCCCGCGGGCCACGUCCACCACCUCCUGCGUCAGGUCCUGGAAGGGGGGGAGGGGGCGUCAGAGGCCACGCCCACCGCGAGACCACGCCCCCCCAUCAUUCGCCAAAAGCCACGCCCCUUCCGACGAACCACGCCCCUGAUUCAGGCCACGCCUUCUAAAUCCAGACCACGCC